UUUUGUUGACUGUAUCCUUUGCUGUGCAAAAGCUUCUUAUCUUGAGGAAGUCCCAUUAGUUCAUUUUUGCUUUUGUUUCUUUUGCCUUCGUGGAUGUAUCUUGCAAGAAGUUACUGUGGCUGAGUUCAAAAAGGGUGUUGCCUGUGUUCUCCUCUAGGAUUUUGAUGGACUCUUGUCUCACAUUUAGAUCUUUCAUCCAUUUUGAGUUUAUCUUUGUGUAUGGUGCAAGAGAGUGGUCUAGUUUCAUUCUUCUGCAUGUGGAUGUCCAAUUUUCCCAGCACCAUUUAUUGAAGAGACUGUCUUUCUUCCAGUGGAUAGUCUUUCCUCCUUUAUCGAAUAUUAGUUGACCAUAAAGUUGAGGGUCCACUUCUGGGUUCUCUAUUCUGUUCCAUUGAUCUGUGUAUCUGUUUUUGUGCCAGUACCACAGUGUCUUGAUGACCACAGCUUUGUAGUACAACCUGAAAUCUGGCAUUGUGAUGCCCCCAGAUAUGGUUUUCUUUUUUAAAAUUCCCCUGGCUAUUCGGGGUCUUUUCUGAUUCCACACAAAUCUUAAGAUGAUUUGUUCUAACUCUCUGAAGAAAGUCCAUGGUAUUUUGAUAGGGAUUGCAUUAAAUGUGUAAAUUACCCUGAGUAACAUUGACAUUUUCACAAUAUUAAUUCUGCCAAUCCAUGAGCAUGGAAUAUUUUUCCAUCUCUUUGUGUCUUCCUCAAUUUCUUUCAGAAGUGUUCUAUAGUUUUUAGUGUAUAGAUCCUUUACCUCUUUGGUUAGGUUUAUUCCUAGGGAUCUUAUGCUUUUGGGUGCAAUUGUAAAUGGGAUUGACUCCUUGAUUUCUCUUUCUUCAGUCUCAUUGUUAGUGUAUAGAAAUGCAACUGAUUUCUGGGCAUUGAUUUUGUAUCCUGCCAUGCUGCCAAACUGCUGUAUGAGUUCUAGCAAUCUUGGGGUGGAGGCUUUUGGGUUUUCUAUGUAGAGUAUCAUGUCAUCGGCGAAGAGGGAGAGUUUGACUUCUUCUUUGCCAAUUUGAAUGCCUUUAAUGUCUUUUUGUUGUCUGAUUGCUGAGGCUAGGACUUCCAGUAUUAUGUUGAAUAGCAGUGGUGAGAGUGGGCAUCCCUGUCUUGUUCUUGAUCUUAGGGGAAAGGCUCCCAGUGCUUCCCCAUUGAGAAUGAUAUUUGCUGUGGGCUUUUUGUAGAUGGCUUUUAAGGUGUUGAGGAAUGUUCCCUCUAUCCCUCCACUCUGAAGAGUUUUGAUCAGGAAUGGAGGCCCUAUUUUGUCAAAUGCUUUCUCUGCAUCUAAUGAGAGGAUCAUACGGUUCUUGGUUUUUCUCUUGCUGAUAUGAUGAAUCACAUUGAUUGUUUUACGAGUGUUGAACCAGCCUUGUGUCCCGGGGAUGAAUCCUACUUGGUCUCGUUAGCUCUCUCUUUCUGCCUUUGAGUAUAUAUGUUCAUAUAACUCCUAAGUUUUUUUUGGUGUGUGUGUGUGUGUGUGUGGUAAGCAGGGAUUGCAGAAGUGGAAAGCCUGUAUUAAGAAUUGUUUGUAAUUUUUUUAAUCUUUUGCUUUUCUAAGCUUUUGUUUUUGACACUUCAGCUUCAUUGAUCUCUAUUGAGUCCUGCUUUCCACUGUAAUUCUCAUUUUUAUUUCUUUCUUAUUGCACUUUCUUAAUAUUUAAGAUAAUCUUUAGUCUUGGAUUUUUUUUUACCAAUAAAUGCAUUAAGGGUUGUAAUGUUCUCUGUGUACAAAUUCUUAUAUUUAGUCAUUUCUAUAUUACCAUCUUGUAUAUAUUUGUAAGCAUUUCCACUAUGAUUUCUUCUUGAAGUAUGAGGUACUUAGGAGAUUAUAUUUAAUCACCAAGAUUUUCAUUUCCAAAUAUAUGGAAGUUUUAAUGACUCUCUUUUGUUAUUGUUUACUUAGUUGUGCUAACUUAAUUGUGCUCUACUCAGAGAAUAUAGUCUAUGUGAUACCCAAACUUGCUUUAUGGACUUGAUUUGAAAGGAGGAUGUUUUGUCCAGUAACCCGAUGCAAGGUUCUCUCUGCAGCCUAUUAGAACACAAAAUGUUUAUUUUUUUUAACAUGUGUUUCUUUAAAGCAAAUUCACUCACAUGUGAUACAUUAAUAGGGGAAUUAUUCUGGAAUAGAGUGAAAAUUGUGUUGAUUCAUUCAUCUACAGCACAUGCUAGAUAAGAGGAAGCAGAAUUAUGAUCUUUAUGAAGAAACGGAAAAAAUGUUCAACAUUGGUGCUAUACCAGCAGGAAAAGCACUUCAGCAUCUACCUGAGGAUGAUGGGAACAGCCCCACCCUAGAAACCGGCAUUCCGGGCUGCAUCCUACAGAAGCACACUCCUCACUCCUGCUCUGCGUGGCUGUUGGUCAUCAUCCUGCCACCUGUGAUCAUCCUAACAAGAUCACACUGGCUUACGCUCCUUUCCAUCUGUCUUGUCUCAGCACCCACCAGCCAUGGUCCAAAUAAAGUUUUGCCAUCAUUACCACUCUACUGUUUUGGUACAUUUUUAGUAACCACUGUGGCAGCAUCUGUUGACACUAAUACAUCUGUAUGGGCAGUCCAAAUUAUCCGCUGAAGUCUUAAUUACUUAUUUUUUGUUUUGUGAGAUUUUUACAAAGCCACAUAGUUGUAUACCGUCUUCUCCAAUCCUCUUUUUCUCAGAAGCCUUGCUGUUUUUUGUGUAUAUUUUUACAGCACAGAAUGAUUUUUAGGACAUAUAUUCCUAUAGAGCAGAAAUCUCUAAAUGUCCUUCAUUUUCACCUUGUAAUUUAUGUGCUUCAAAUCUUAUAUACAUUUUGCUAGUAAAGGAAGUCAGUCAGAGACAAAUACCAUAUGAUUUCACUCAUAUCUGGAAAUUAAGAAACAGAACAAAUGAAAGAGAGAGAGAGAGAGAGAGAGAGAAACCAAGAUACAGAUUCUUAACUAUAAUGAGUAAAUUGAUAAUUAACCAGAAGGGAGAUGGGGGGAAUGGGUGAAAUAUGUAAAGGAGAUUGAGUACAUUUAUCUUAAUGAGUACUAAGUAAUGUACAGAACUGUUGAACUGCUGUAUUGUACAUCUGAAACUAAUCUAACAUUGUUAACUAUACUGGAAUUAAAAUAAAAAAUUAAUUUAAAAAACUACAUAUAUAUAUAUAGUGUAAAAAACUAUAUAUAUAUAUAUAUUAUCAAUUUUGAAGAUAAAACUAUUAAAAUCUUCCCAAAGAUCUAUAGAUUUGUCAAUUCUUCCUUGUAGUUUAUUCACUUUUGCUUUUACAUAUUUUAAAGCUUAUGUUAUUGAGGAUUAUGAGAUCAUAAUCAAUCAAAUUUUAUUUGUGGGAUUUGUGAAGCUUUGAUUUAAAGUGGACUCCCUUUAUUUAUUCCAUCAUGUACCUGGAUGGGUCAUCAAUUGGGACUUUCUUAAAGUAAAUCCCUGGUUUAUGUCCUUUGAGGGCUAUAGCAGUAGACUGGAUUCUAAUCUAAAAGAUAUAACCAGAUUGUCAUCAGAAAUUCUUUGUUAAAGCUGUUUUUCCUCCUUCUACAUAAAGCAUAAAAGUUUUCCCUUCGUCUUAUCCUUUGAGCACCUUUCUUCUUUUUACAACUUGUCCCUUUCUUGGCAAAAUUACCUUCUGGAGUCUGUUUUUGUAAGAGAUUCUCUUAAUGAUUUCCCAUCUUGUGCAGGACUGGGCAUUUUCUCCUUUCUUGGUCAUGAAUCCCAUCAAAUGGAAACAUUCUGUCCACUGAGGAUCAAGUGCUCUCACACAGCCCUCAGGUUUGGUGCUUUAUUCCCUUCCAAUUUGCUGUUUCAGGCUUUGGUAUUUCUCUCACUCUCUUGCCCAAUCAAAUGUGCACAUAAAGCGGGUAUAUGUAAAUAAUUUUUAAAAAGUAUUUAUUUAUUUAUUCAUGAGAGACACAGACUGAGAGAGAGAAAGGCUGAGACAUAGAUGGGGGAGAAGUAAGCACCUUGCAGGGAGCCCAAUGCAGGACUCUAUCCCUGAUCCGGGGAUCACUACUUGAGCUGAAGGCAGACGCCCAACUGCUGAGCCACCAGGUACCCCCAUCCCUGUACCUAAUUUUUUAUACGUAACUUAUUGCAAAGUUUAUUCAGGAAAUUAGUCUGCUGUAUAUAUGUUGGAAUAUUGUCGCUCUUUAACAUUAGUCCUGUAUUUUUAAAAUUUCCAUAACUAAAACAUAUUAUUAUGAUGGUAAAGUAUUAUUUCAAGCAAAAUAGCUUUUGUUGAAUUGAAACCUUCACUCUAAUCCCCUAUAUUGCAAGGAAAGUAUAGGAACAAUGUAAUUGUGACUGUCAAGUAGUUUACAAGUUCUUAUACUUCUAAAGAUGAAUAGCUCUUUUUAUUUCUAAGAAUAUAUAACACAGGUACUUACAACUAUUAAAUACAUCUGAAUAUAUAACGACCACACACACACACACACACACACACACACACACACACAAAUAAAAACCAAGAAGUAUUCUUAUAUACUGCAGUAUAAUAUAGUUGAGUAUGAAUGAAAUCUUUUUUGUGUGUGAAUAUUUACAGUUCUUUUCACCAUAAAUAUCUAGAAGCAAAAAAAACAUUGCACACAAAUCUAAACAUUUUUCAUACUUUUGAUACUGUAAUUCCUGUUUAUCCUCCUUAAACCCUUUAUAUGCCAUAGAGGAUGUAGUAAGUAUACUGUUCAUGCUGCUAAACAGAAAAUACUGUUCUUUUUUUAAAUUUUUUUACUUUUUAUUGGUGUUCAAUUUACUAACAUACAGAAAAAUCCCCAGUGCCCGUCACCCA
rnacentral:lncRNA from 1 species